CCACCUCAUCGCUCCUCUCUCGCUCGUCUCUCCCUCUCCCCCGCACCACUUCUCGCCGCCGCCACCAGCACCACCACCGACGGCGCCCGAUCCCGCCUGAUUCCAGCGUCCUCCAGCGCGCCCAGCACACCACCGUGCCCCCUCUCAAUGCUCCUUCCUCCCAUCGGGCCAGAUCCGGCGCGCGUGUCCUCCAGCGGCCAAGCGUGACCCUGCCCAGCAGCUAGGGUUUGGGCCAGCACAUCGCCGGCGUGGCUCUGGCGUUGCUCCGGUGACUUAGAUCUAGCGCACCGUAGCCGCUCGAGCACCGGGACGCCAUGGAUGGGAAGGCUUCUUCCUCCUCUGUCCCGAUGCCAUGAACAACGCAGCUCCACCACCAGACCAUGGAGACGGAGCUCCUUCUCCCGCAUCACUCAUGGAGCCUCCCUCUCAGCGCCCGGAGCCCUAGAGAGUAUGAAUCGCUCCUCCCGCUGUCUCCUUCUACGACUUCUCUUCUUCUCCUCUUGAUGCAUUCUCGUAUUGUGCCGAGGAAAGGAAUUCAAGGCCAUGGCCGGAGAGAGGAGCUGCUCCUAGUAUAGGACGCCAUGGAAGGUGCUGCUUUGAUGAGGAGAAACUGCUGUUGUAGGACGUCCUCCUCCCAUCCCCUACCCCCACACGUGGUGAGCUCCUAUGCAUAUGUGGAUAAUCAGGAACUAAUGCUUAAUUGGUUACUUCAUAAUCUGUUCCACUGUAUGCAUGAACGCUCACACAUUUUUUCUGCCAUUUAUAUACAUAACUAUUGGACAGUGAGAAGAUUUCCAUUGUGUGCAUGAACAUGCUUUUUUUCGUCAAUCCAUCUCUUAUCAUGCAUACAUCCUAUCAUAUAUUAUAUGAUAAAUCUUUUAGUUGCUCACUGUCUAUAUAGGUGCUCAAAUUUUUAGAUUCCAUAGAACUUCUGUUUGUAGUGAAAAAAGGGUAUAUGCAGCUUUUAAUCAAUGUCUAUUUAAAUCAAUAGAAUACAUAUUGACUAUAUGUGUUCAUUGGUGCACCAUGUCGAAUUACUUUUCCGUUUAAAAAAGUAAUUACUUUUGUAUGUUGUGAUGCAUCCCAUAGUAGUGUGCACCCAGGAACCAACCAAGGGCUGAUGCAAUAUAUGUUACCAUGUACUCCCUCCGUUCCUAAAUAUAAGUCUUUUUAGAGAUUCCACUACGGACUACAUACGGAGCAAAAUGAGUGAAUCUACACUCUAAAAUAUGUCUAUAUACAUCCGUAUGUAGUUUGUAGUGCAAUCUCUAAAAAGACUUAUAUUUAGGAACGGAGGGAGUAUAUACCGCCCUUGCUGUUUUAAAAAAUAGACAUUGAGGAUACCUUUUUAUCCCUACACCCUGCUGUGGGAUUCUUAAUAGCCUUACCUGCAUAUGAACAAACUGCAAGAGACAGAUACAAUUCCUAACAUGUGAAAGGCUGUUUUAUGACUUAUCCAUCUCGCGACCACCUUCUAUAUCUACAGGAAUCUAUCACUUCUUUCUACUUACAUGGCAGAUAUAUCUACAAGUAAACCUACAUGUUUUUUGUAGUUCAAAUGGAGUAUCCUAUAUCAUUUUUAUUAUUAUGCAGAACUGUUUGUUCAGUCACAUCAGCCCUUUGCUAGAGCUGUUGUGGAGCAAAUUAGAUGGGCGAACCAAUAGAUAAUUAUGUAGCUGUAGUUGGCCGGCAAUGGUUCACAGGGAUAUUCCUUAUAUUUACUUGAUAUUUGAUCUUAAUAUUCACUGGACACAAUUCUCUCAUGGUUGCAAUAUUUUUUUCCUAAGUUCACUCCAAUUGUGUUGGCAUUCAUGCUUUAUUUCUUUUAAUCAGUUUACUAAUCGUACCGAGAAAAUAAAUAUAACUACUUGAGAAUAAAGGGAAAAGGAGAAUAAAGGAUGGUUGUGGUAGCAGAAUGGUAUUUUUGCUUAGGCGCAAUCAUACUUAUGUAGUAGUAAAUAACCUGUCAUGUCAUUCUUCAAGUCUGCACAUAGCACUGUUAUUUUAGGAGCAGAUUUCUCAUCCUUCAGAAACCUGAACUUGCUUAAUAGCCAAUUUAGCAGAGUAUUACCAGUUCCUUGAUGUCAUUUCUGGUAUGCAAUCAUAUGACAUGUCUCAUGUUAAUAAAUAUGGGUUGUUGUCAAUUUUUUAAUCUACAAUUGAUCUAGUGUUUUUAACAUGGUAGCUUAAUAUCCUCCUUCCUUUUCUAAUAUGCAAACUUCAAAUAUGUGAGGUGCAUAAGUGCAUGAGGUGCGGUUCACCUUAGGUUGCUCCCACUCUUCAGCGGUCUGGUCCAGCGUCACUUAACCAUUGUGACCUGGCUGGUUUGGUUCAGCUUUGAGCUGCCCACCGUGGAGUGGGAGGCCGACAUGCUCAUGAACAUCAAGGCCGGAUCAAGUACGCUGGUGCACCGCGGCGUGCGGCGGCCUAUUUUCUUGUAGUGGUAUUGUAUAUGGUCUCAUCCAGCACUGAGUAUCCAUAUGUUGUUCUAAUCCUGAUGAUGAUGUUGUAGCAUAAAGUGGACACCAUAUUCAGUUUGUCUUGAUGCUUUAUCUCUUGUGGUUCUUGUCUGAUGCACAUUGUUCUUUGCAGGGUUAUGAUGAUAUUUCCAAGGAAAUAUACUGACCCUGAUGCGACAAAGGUGUCCAUUUUCCUUUUCUUAAACUUAUUUACUCUGUUUUUUGUUCUUCCUGUAGUUCCAGUUUCACAUUGCUGGUGUUUCAUGCAAUAUUCAUCAGAGCCUGCUUACAUGCCUUAUUAUUGAGUAACUUGAUUAGUAUUUCUGCCACUGUCCUAUCUCAGUAAACUGUUUGUUUUUUCAGUAGCUAAAAAAGAAAGUAAAUCUAUUAUAUCCUGGUAUUCUAGAAUUCCAGUCUCACAGAAGUUACUCUGUGUCCUGCUUUAGCUUGCAAACCUGAUGCUCUGCUGUCUGUUCUCAUUUCUUAACUUUGAAAUGUUUCAAACUUAAGAGUGCCCUCAUCCUCUAUUACAUCUGUAUGCACCUUGGUAAGAAAUAUAUUGGUCUUGUAAAUAUCAUUGGGAAGUACAUCUGCUUCUGUAUGUUCUUGCAAGCAUUAAAUGUUGCUGACAUUCUCACUAAAGAAUGUCCCUCCAGCACAUUCCUUUGAAAUGUGACCUUGAGUCAAGCUCCAAGAAGAUAUUCAACAGAUCUGCAUCUGCUCUAGAUGCUCAUGCACAAGAUACUAAGUUAUUGGUUGUGUUAUUCUGGUUGGUACUAUCUUAUAAACAUGUGGGGUAAUGAUACUGCUGGGACAAAUUUGAUGAAAUGUUGUACUGUUUGUUCAUUCUGUUGUGUUAUUUUGUGAUCCUGUGGUGUAAUGAUACUGUUGUGUUAUUUUGAGAAUUAUAUUAUUAUUACCAUUAUAUUA